rnacentral:rRNA from 1 species
AUACGUAGGGGGCGAGCGUUGUCCGGAAUGAUUGGGCGUAAAGGGCGCGUAGGCGGCCCGGUAAGUCUGGAGUGAAAGUCCUGUUUUUAAGAUGGGAAUUGCUUUGGAUACUGUCGGGCUUGAGUGCAGGAGAGGGAAGUGGAAUUCCCAGUGUAGCGGUGAAAUGCGUAGAGAUUGGGAGGAACACCAGUGGCGAAGGCGACUUACUGGACUGUAACUGACGCUGAGGCGCGAAAGUGUGGGGAGCAAACAGGAUUAGAUACCCUGGUAGUCCACACUGUAAACGAUGAAUGCUAGGUGUAAGGGGUAUCGACCCCUUCUGUGCCGCAGUCAACACAAUAAGCAUUCCGCCUGGGGAGUACGGCCGCAAGGUUGAAACUCAAAUGAAUUGACGGGG